UACGUAGGGGGCAAGCGUUGUCCGGAUUUACUGGGUGUAAAGGGCGCGCAGGCGGAAUGAAAAGUCAGUGGUGAAAUCCUACAGCUUAACUGUAGAACUGCCUUUGAUACUUUCAUUCUUGAGUUCGGGAGAGAGAGACGGAAUUCCAGGUGUAGUGGUGAAAUACGUAGAUAUCUGGAAGAACACCAGUUGCGAAGGCGGUCUCUUGGUCCGACACUGACGCUGAGGCGCGAAAGCGUGGGGAGCAAACAGG
rnacentral:rRNA from 1 species